rnacentral:misc_RNA from 1 species
AAGUCGUAACAAGGUCUCCGUAGGUGAACCUGCGGAGGGAUCAUUAAAGAGUAAGGGUCCUCGUGGCCCAAACCUCCCAACCCCGUGUGUACGUACCUCUGUUGCUUUGGCAGGCCGGGACCUGGUCCCCGCCGGCGGUGGUCGCCCAGCGGCCUGCGCCCGGCGAGCGUCUGUCAGAAGCCUCAACCAAAAUCCUUCUCAACCGUGACGUCUGAGCGAUAAACUUAAUAGCUAAAAACUUUCAACAACGGAUCUCUUGGUUCCA